rnacentral:rRNA from 1 species
AUACGUAGGGGGCGAGCGUUGUCCGGAAUGACUGGGCGUAAAGGGCGUGUAGGCGGCCGAUUAAGUCUGGAGUGAAAGUCCCGCUUUCAAGGUGGGAAUUGCUUUGGAGACUGGUUGGCUUGAGUGCGGAAGAGGUAAGUGGAAUUCCCAGUGUAGCGGUGAAAUGCGUAGAGAUUGGGAGGAACACCAGUGGCGAAGGCGACUUACUGGGCCGGAACUGACGCUGAGGCGCGAAAGCGUGGGGAGCGAACAGGAUUAGAUACCCUGGUAGUCCACGCUGUAAACGAUGAAUGCUAGGUGUAGGGGGUAUCGACCCCUCCUGUGCCGGAGUAAACGCAAUAAGCAUUCCGCCUGGGGAGUACGGCCGCAAGGUUGAAACUCAAAGGAAUUGACGGGG